rnacentral:rRNA from 1 species
UACGGAGGGUGCAAGCGUUGUCCGGAUUUAUUGGGUUUAAAGGGUGCGUAGGCGGCUAAUUAAGUCAGCGGUGAAAUUCCACAGCUCAACUGUGGAACUGCCAUUGAUACUGGUUGGCUUGAGUACAGGUGAGGUAGGCGGAAUUGACAGUGUAGCGGUGAAAUGCUUAGAUAUUGUCAAGAACACCUAUUGCGAAGGCAGCUUACUAAGCUGUAACUGACGCUGAGGCACGAAAGCGUGGGGAUCAAACAGG